GAUCAGCAGAGGAACAAAGCAGCAGAGGGGGCACAACGGGGAUGAUACAAAAAAAUGGACAAGUUAUGCUCUGCUGACUAGGGAAACAUUCUGCCCUGACUAAGACAAGGAAACUGAUUAUUUGGCCCAGCCCAGCAAUAUGAAAAUUCAGUGGGCAAGAAAGAAUUUUGUGAAUAAACAGUGAGAAGUAUUUCAUUUGGCAUCAGCAAGCAGAACACUGGAGAAGCAGCCAUUUUGCUGAAAUAUGAUUACAGCCUCACUGAAAUCACGGAGACAUGGCCGAAUCACUCAUAUGACUGAAAUGCUGACAGAAAAAAGAUGCUGCUUGUUCAAGAAGAACGGACGGCAAAGAGAUAAGAGGCAUCACUUUGUGAGCGUUGUAUGUAUGAGCUUGUCCUGACAGAUGGAGUUAGCCUUGCUGAAAGUAUGCAAAGGUGGAAAUAGGACACCAUUGUCAGAGUUUAUUGGAGUCUGUUAAAGGCCAUCCAUUUAUGAAGAUAAGAUGUAUGAGGCUCUUUGAGAAUAAG